UGAAGAUGCAGAUCUUAAUUGUGUUUAGAGAUAAAGCCUCAGAUAUAGGUCGCAGGGCGUGGAAUGCAAGCCUGGCUUUAUUUAUUAGGCUUCUUACAUCUUCAUCUGUACCUCCAUCUUUGCUGACUAUACUGCCAAGUGUUGCCCAAGGUGGUGUUAAGCUGACCUCAGAGUGAAGCAAGAUACUGAAGACAGCAGCACAAGGUGCUGAUUUUAUUUGACCCUUCUUCUUCCAGACAUAAUGUCUCCACAUAGUACUCUACUGUGUGAUUGCACAGAGCGGUCACUUUAAUCGUGCCCAGACCUUGUACGACUGGUUUGUGGGCUUACGACAGAGACCACUGACUUUCGGACGAAUGAAUUUUCAGGUAUGCAAAUAAACCUUGUUGGUUUCAAGAUGGAUUUUAUAUGAAAUACGAAAUUAUUGUAAAGUGUCAUUACAAUGAUUGAGAAUUACAAAAUGAAGACAAUCAUGAACAUUUCUUUAACUUUUUUUGUUUGUGACUUAAAAAACUUGGAACCUAUGAAAACAUUUUGCAAUGACAGAGAUGAAGGCCAGAGAUUCCUCUACAUCACAUGGCAGUUGUCAUCAGCUGUUUAGGCAUAUACAGAUGACAAUAUUCACACUCAGAACUGGACACAACAGAUUAAAUCACCAGCUGCACAAAAAAACCUUCGUCUUGUCAUUUCUGUGCAGAAGCAGAUCAGACAUCCUGGAAAAGUCUUUUGUCCUUAAAUUAAAGGAAGCGUGGCAGUUACUGCAGCACUAACUGUACGGUGUUGUGGAGACUUUGCUAGAAACCUUUAUUCAAUCAAGACCUUCAACUGACAUAACAUGCAAAAGAAAAAAAAAA